rnacentral:rRNA from 1 species
UACGGGGGGGGCAAGCGUUGUUCGGAAUUACUGGGCGUAAAGGGCUCGUAGGCGGCCAACUAAGUCAGACGUGAAAUCCCUCGGCUUAACCGGGGAACUGCGUCUGAUACUGGAUGGCUUGAGUUUGGGAGAGGGAUGCGGAAUUCCAGGUGUAGCGGUGAAAUGCGUAGAUAUCUGGAGGAACACCGGUGGCGAAGGCGGCAUCCUGGACCAACACUGACGCUGAUGAGCGAAAGCCAGGGGAGCGAACGGG